rnacentral:rRNA from 1 species
GGGUUGUGAGGUUAAGCGACUAAGCGUACACGGUGGAUGCCCUGGCAGUCAGAGGCGAUGAAGGACGUGCUAAUCUGCGAUAAGCGUCGGUAAGGUGAUAUGAACCGUUAUAACCGGCGAUUUCCGAAUGGGGAAACCCAGUGUGUUUCGACACACUAUCAUUAACUGAAUCCAUAGGUUAAUGAGGCGAACCGGGGGAACUGAAACAUCUAAGUACCCCGAGGAAAAGAAAUCAACCGAGAUUCCCCCAGUAGCGGCGAGCGAACGGGGAGCAGCCCAGAGCCUGAAUCAGUGUGUGUGUUAGUGGAAGCGUCUGGAAAGGCGCGCGAUACAGGGUGACAGCCCCGUACACAAAAAUGCACAUACUGUGAGCUCGAUGAGUAGGGCGGGACACGUGGUAUCCUGUCUGAAUAUGGGGGACCAUCCUCCAAGGCUAAAUACUCCUGACUGACCGAUAGUGAACCAGUACCGUGAGGGAAAGGCGAAAAGAACCCCGGCGAGGGGAGUGAAAAAGAACCUGAAACCGUGUACGUACAAGCAGUGGGAGCACGCUUAGGCGUGUGACUGCGUACCUUUUGUAUAAUGGGUCAGCGACUUAUAUUCUGUAGCAAGGUUAACCGAAUAGGGGAGCCGAAGGGAAACCGAGUCUUAACUGGGCGUUAAGUUGCAGGGUAUAGACCCGAAACCCGGUGAUCUAGCCAUGGGCAGGUUGAAGGUUGGGUAACACUAACUGGAGGACCGAACCGACUAAUGUUGAAAAAUUAGCGGAUGACUUGUGGCUGGGGGUGAAAGGCCAAUCAAACCGGGAGAUAGCUGGUUCUCCCCGAAAGCUAUUUAGGUAGCGCCUCGUGAAUUCAUCUCCGGGGGUAGAGCACUGUUUCGGCAAGGGGGUCAUCCCGACUUACCAACCCGAUGCAAACUGCGAAUACCGGAGAAUGUUAUCACGGGAGACACACGGCGGGUGCUAACGUCCGUCGUGAAGAGGGAAACAACCCAGACCGCCAGCUAAGGUCCCAAAGUCAUGGUUAAGUGGGAAACGAUGUGGGAAGGCCCAGACAGCCAGGAUGUUGGCUUAGAAGCAGCCAUCAUUUAAAGAAAGCGUAAUAGCUCACUGGUCGAGUCGGCCUGCGCGGAAGAUGUAACGGGGCUAAACCAUGCACCGAAGCUGCGGCAGCGACGCUGAUGCGUUGUUGGGUAGGGGAGCGUUCUGUAAGCCUGUGAAGGUGUGCUGUGAGGCAUGCUGGAGGUAUCAGAAGUGCGAAUGCUGACAUAAGUAACGAUAAAGCGGGUGAAAAGCCCGCUCGCCGGAAGACCAAGGGUUCCUGUCCAACGUUAAUCGGGGCAGGGUGAGUCGACCCCUAAGGCGAGGCCGAAAGGCGUAGUCGAUGGGAAACAGGUUAAUAUUCCUGUACUUGGUGUUACUGCGAAGGGGGGACGGAGAAGGCUAUGUUGGCCGGGCGACGGUUGUCCCGGUUUAAGCGUGUAGGCUGGUUUUCCAGGCAAAUCCGGAAAACUAAGGCUGAGGCGUGAUGACGAGGCACUACGGUGCUGAAGCAACAAAUGCCCUGCUUCCAGGAAAAGCCUCUAAGCAUCAGGUAACAUCAAAUCGUACCCCAAACCGACACAGGUGGUCAGGUAGAGAAUACCAAGGCGCUUGAGAGAACUCGGGUGAAGGAACUAGGCAAAAUGGUGCCGUAACUUCGGGAGAAGGCACGCUGAUAUGUAGGUGAAGUCCCUCGCGGAUGGAGCUGAAAUCAGUCGAAGAUACCAGCUGGCUGCAACUGUUUAUUAAAAACACAGCACUGUGCAAACACGAAAGUGGACGUAUACGGUGUGACGCCUGCCCGGUGCCGGAAGGUUAAUUGAUGGGGUCAGCGCAAGCGAAGCUCUUGAUCGAAGCCCCGGUAAACGGCGGCCGUAACUAUAACGGUCCUAAGGUAGCGAAAUUCCUUGUCGGGUAAGUUCCGACCUGCACGAAUGGCGUAAUGAUGGCCAGGCUGUCUCCACCCGAGACUCAGUGAAAUUGAACUCGCUGUGAAGAUGCAGUGUACCCGCGGCAAGACGGAAAGACCCCGUGAACCUUUACUAUAGCUUGACACUGAACAUUGAGCCUUGAUGUGUAGGAUAGGUGGGAGGCUUUGAAGUGUGGACGCCAGUCUGCAUGGAGCCGACCUUGAAAUACCACCCUUUAAUGUUUGAUGUUCUAACGUUGACCCGUGAUCCGGGUUGCGGACAGUGUCUGGUGGGUAGUUUGACUGGGGCGGUCUCCUCCUAAAGAGUAACGGAGGAGCACGAAGGUUGGCUAAUCCUGGUCGGACAUCAGGAGGUUAGUGCAAUGGCAUAAGCCAGCUUGACUGCGAGCGUGACGGCGCGAGCAGGUGCGAAAGCAGGUCAUAGUGAUCCGGUGGUUCUGAAUGGAAGGGCCAUCGCUCAACGGAUAAAAGGUACUCCGGGGAUAACAGGCUGAUACCGCCCAAGAGUUCAUAUCGACGGCGGUGUUUGGCACCUCGAUGUCGGCUCAUCACAUCCUGGGGCUGAAGUAGGUCCCAAGGGUAUGGCUGUUCGCCAUUUAAAGUGGUACGCGAGCUGGGUUUAGAACGUCGUGAGACAGUUCGGUCCCUAUCUGCCGUGGGCGCUGGAGAACUGAGGGGGGCUGCUCCUAGUACGAGAGGACCGGAGUGGACGCAUCACUGGUGUUCGGGUUGUCAUGCCAAUGGCACUGCCCGGUAGCUAAAUGCGGAAGAGAUAAGUGCUGAAAGCAUCUAAGCACGAAACUUGCCCCGAGAUGAGUUCUCCCUGACUCCUUGAGAGUCCUGAAGGAACGUUGAAGACGACGACGUUGAUAGGCCGGGUGUGUAAGCGCAGCGAUGCGUUGAGCUAACCGGUACUAAUGAACCGUGAGGCUUAACCUUACAACGCCGAAGCUGUU